CACUUUAUACUGUGAACUGCGAAUGGCUCAUUAAAUCAGUUAUCGUUUAUUUGAUAGUACCUUACUACAUGGAUACCUGUGGUAAUUCUAGAGCUAAUACAUGCUACAAACCCCGACUUCAGGAAGGGGUGUAUUUAUUAGAUAAAAAACCAACGCCCUUCGGGGCUCCUUGGUGAAUCAUAAUAACUUAACGAAUCGCAUGGCCUUGCGCCGGCGAUGGUUCAUUCAAAUUUCUGCCCUAUCAACUUUCGAUGGUAGGAUAGUGGCCUACCAUGGUGGCAACGGGUAACGGGGAAUUAGGGUUCGAUUCCGGAGAGGGAGCCUGAGAAACGGCUACCACAUCCAAGGAAGGCAGCAGGCGCGCAAAUUACCCAAUCCCGAUACGGGGAGGUAGUGACAAUAAAUACUGAUACGGGGCUCUUUCGGGUCUCGUAAUUGGAAUGAGAACAAUUUAAAUCCCUUAACGAGGAACAAUUGGAGGGCAAGUCUGGUGCCAGCAGCCGCGGUAAUUCCAGCUCCAAUAGCGUAUAUUAAAGUUGUUGCAGUUAAAAAGCUCGUAGUUGAACCUUGGGCCUGGCUGGCCGGUCCGCCUCACCGCGAGUACUGGUCCGGCUGGGCCUUUCCUUCUGGGGAACCUCAUGGCCUUCACUGGCUGUGGGGGGAACCAGGDACUUUUACUGUGAAAAAAUUAGAGUGUUCAAAGCAGGCCUUUGCUCGAAUACAUUAGCAUGGAAUAAUAGAAUAGGACGUGCGGUUCUAUUUUGUUGGUUUCUAGGACCGCCGUAAUG
rnacentral:rRNA from 1 species